rnacentral:lncRNA from 1 species
GCUAUGACACAAACAACGCUAAGUGGUUAUUUCUUGUCAAGUAUCUUGCAUUACUUAUCACGUAUGGAAACUAACACAUCUGUCUUUGAGUUAUUUUACUUUACAGAUAACAGAAAAUUACUCCGUGUUGAAACAAGAUGGCAGAACAUCCUUACUUCACCCGGUCAAAAGCGCAUAAGAUUCCAUCCCAUAACCAUCAUUCAAUAUGAUUGAAAGUGACGAGGAAAAUGCAUUGACCAUCAGGGAAAAUAUAAUAGCGGAACAAAGCGAGAUAAUUGUUGAACUCGCAAGAAAAUUAGAAAUGCUUUAGAAGGAGAUAAAUCACACUCGAGACUUGGCUAACCUGGCCAUCACUAUCAAUGCUCCCGCUUCAGGAGGGCAUGUGACUCCACUCUAGAUCCACCCCUCAGUACGCCUGUUCUCGGGGACCAUCCAAAUAACAUAUCAUCCAUUUUCGCUCCUCAACUUGUCCAAAACACCAAUCGAGAAAAUAACCCAGAUGCUUACCAUCCACAAAAUUCAUCCCUAACCCUUCAAAAUCCGUUUCCAAAUCCACAAGAUUCAUUCUCGAAUCCCCAAAACCCAUUUUCGAACCCACAAAACCAGCUCCCAAAUUUGCAAAAUCCAUACUCGAAUCCAGAAAAUCC